rnacentral:piRNA from 1 species
UUUCNCCCAGAAGCCUGUAAACUCAAAAGC